UUUGAUGCUGAUUGGCACACUCCCUGCUCAUGUAUCCGCAGACAUCGAGCCUGUCGGCACACGGCAGGCUCCCCGAAACGAAUCGGGACCGGACAAAGGCGUCCUUGCACUCACGGUGCAGGACGCC
rnacentral:sRNA from 17 species